AGGUGGAGGUUAGAGUCAGGCCUUGGGGAGGUUGUGGGGGAGGUAGUCAGGCCAAGUAGAGGUGAAGUCAUGUGAAGUUAUUGGGGUGGAGAGUCCUGUGAGUUGGGGAGUUCCUUUUCUCACUGGCCUUGUACUUUUCCCUCUCAGAGAGCUGAAAAAUCCCUGUCCUCGCUCUCUGACACACACUGAACUCUGUCCUGUCUUUCUCUAUGUCUCUGUAUCACUUAACAACUGUUGCUAGGCAAUAGCACUGUUUUUUCUAUUUUGGGUGGAAUUUUCUGUGCCCGCUGGUGUCGAGGGUGUUCAAUGGCAUGAACAGUAUGGCGAGCAGGCCAAAAAUCUGUUUCACAACAUCGUGAAAACCGUAUGCAAUCGUCCGCCCAGCCCCUUGAUGGCAGGCUGCGUUUCACACUGACGUGUUUCACAACAGCAUAUAUCAGGAAUGCACUUGCUGGGCUGCACUUUGAGGGGAACUCAGAGGUUUGACUGAACACAACCAAAUCAUCAAUAUAUACCAUACAGUUGUAUGACCUUGUUGGUUAACCUUUGAAAAGUUGCUGGUGAAAUCUCCAUUCCGAAAGGCAUGACAUUGCACUGAAAAAGUCCAUCCAGGGUUACAAAAGCUGAUAUCUCUAUGGCUAUAUUGGUUAAUAGAAUUUGCCAAUAUCCCUUCAAUAAAUCAAUUUUUGUAAUGAA